UACGGAGGGAGCGAGCGUUGUUCGGAAUCAUUGGGCGUAAAGGGCAUGUAGGCGGCUCUGUAAGUCGGGUGUGAAAUCCCAUCUCUCAAGGGUGGAACGGCAUUCGAAACUGCAGGGCUUGAGUUCGGGGGAAGAGAGCGGAAUUCUCGGUGUAGCGGUGAUAUGCGUAGAUAUCGAGAAGAACACCAGCGGCGUAAGCGGCUCUCUAUCCUGAAACUGACGCUGAGGUGCGAAAGCCAGGGGAGCGAAC
rnacentral:rRNA from 1 species